rnacentral:ncRNA from 1 species
UUGACUCUAGUUCGACUUUGUGAAAUGACUUGAGAGAUGUAGAAUAAGUUGGAGUCAUUUUCAAUGGAAGUGAAAUACCACUACUUUUAAUGUUAUUUUACUUAUUCCGUGGGGCGAAGACGGGGCAUUGCCCCUGUUUUUGGCCUUAAGACAUGUUUCGGUGGGUCAAUCCGGGCGGAAGACAUUGUUAGGUGGGCAGUUUGUCUAGGGUAGCACAUCUAUUAAAAGAUAACGUAGGUGUCCUAAGAUGAGCUCAACGAGAACAAAAAUCUCAUGUGGAACAAAAGGGUAAAAGCUCAUUUGAUUUUGAUUUUCGGUAUGAAUACAAACCAUGAAAGUGUGGCCUAUUAUGAAAAUGAAGUUAUUUUGGCCUUAGAUGA